UCAUCUUCCCCCUCGUCUGUGACUCUAUCUCUCUUACUCCUUCGUCACCUGAAAGUCUGAGAAUUUCCAUGGGUGUUCGUUAACAAUGUUUGAUAUUGCUUAGAGUUGAAAAAAAAGCCCUGCAUGUUCAGACUACUGCAAUUAAAAUCAGGUACUCGUGUGGAGUAUAUUCUUUAAAAUUUGUUCAGUAUCUGAUCAGGAGGAUUCCUCUGUCACGUUUUAAAAAGGAUUAUCUUCAUCGAUAUCGUCGCGAAUUUGCUAUACUGUUGUUCAAGAGACAUUCCAUACAGUUAUCAUCUGACUAGAAGUAUGGACGGUGUUGGGUUCUCAGACCUGUAAAUAUUUUUUGGACGGCUGUUUUCCUCAGGAGUGUCCUAGGGUCGUCUUGGGCCCUGUUUUCUGUACAAGUAUCUGUGGAAUUUUGUUGUCCGUUUUCUCCAGGAGUGUCCUAGAGUCAUUUUGGCCCCUGUUUUUUGUACAUGUAUCUGUGGAUAUUUUGUUCAUGAUGUAUACAUUCCGAAAGGUUUUGCCAAGUUUCUUUCA